UAUAAACCUUAAACACGAGUCACUAUUGUCUGAUUUUAGGUUAGCCUUGAUCGUAGAUUUGUACGGCCAAUACGUGUAUCUAAUAGUGCUGAUAACGCUUAAAACGCCAUUGAAUUGAAAUUGGAAGCACAUAAAUUGAAAUAGAUCCAAACCCGUAGAUAGCUACAGGAAUCUUACAAACGUAAGUAACAUAAAAUUUGUACAACUAAGCAAUACUUAUAAUUGAAUUAAUUACAGGAGAAUUUUAA
rnacentral:lncRNA from 1 species